rnacentral:rRNA from 1 species
AGUUAAAAAGCUCGUAGUUGAACCUUGGGCCUGGCUGGCCGGUCCGCCUCACCGCGUGUACUGGUCCGGCCGGGCCUUUCCUCCUGGGGAACCGCAUGCCCUUCACUGGGCGUGUCGGGGAACCAGGACUUUUACUGUGAAAAACAUUAUAGAUGUUCAACAGCAGCGCCGUUCUGUCUCCAACUAACUUACAUCAUGCGAUGUAAUAAAUAAUAAGAACGUACCGGUGCCGUAUCUAGUUUGGGUUGGUAUGCGUACGGCCCACCGAUUUGAUUAGAAGGGAUAGGUCCGGGGCAUUACUAUGCACUAGUCAGAGGUGAAAUUCUUGGAUCUAUUGAAGACUAACUACUGCGAAAGCAUCUGCCAAGGAUGUUUUCAUUAAUCAGGAACGAAAGUUAGGGGAUCGAAGACGAUCAGAUACCGUCGUAGUCUUAACCAUAAACUAUGCCGACUANGGAUCGGUGGGUGUUACUAUUAUGACCUCAUCGGCACCUUUACGAGAAAUCAAAGUUUUAGGGUCCUGGGGGGAGUAUGGUCGCAGAGCUUGAAACUUAAAGAAAUUGACGGGAGGGCACCACCAGGCGUGGAGCCUGCGGCUUAAUUUGACUCAACACGGGAAACUCACCAGGUCCAGACACAAUAAGGAUUGACAGAUUGAGAGCUCUUUCUUGAUUUUGUGGUUGCUGGUGCAUGGCCGUUCUUAGUUGGUGGAGUGAUUUGUCUGCUUAAUUGCGAUAACGAAGCGAGACCUUAACCGUGCUAAAUAGGCCCGGCCCGCUCUUGGCGGGUCUCCGGCUUUCUUAGAGGGGACUAUCUGGCUCAAGCCGAGUGGAAGUUUGAGGCAAUAACAAGGUUUGUGAUGCCCUUAGAAUGGUUUGGGCCGGAACGGGGGCAACAUUGACAGGGCCAACGAGUUAAUGUCCUUGGCCGGAAGGUCUGGGUAAUCUUGUUAAACCCUGUCGUGCUGGGGAUAGAGCAUUGCAAUUAUUGCUCUUCAACGAGGAAUGCCUA